rnacentral:rRNA from 1 species
UACGGAGGGUGCGAGCGUUGUUCGGAAUCACUGGGCGUAAAGCGCGUGUAGGCGGCCUUUUAAGUCCGAUGUGAAAGCCCGGGGCUCACCCCCGGAAGUGCAUUGGAUACUGAUUGGCCGGAGUACCGGAGAGGAGGGUGGAAUUCCUGGUGUAGCGGUGAAAUGCGUAGAUAUUGGGAGGAACACCGGUGGCGAAGGCGGCCCCCUGGACAACUCCUGACACUGAGGCACGAAAGCUAGGGGAGCAAACAGG